rnacentral:misc_RNA from 1 species
UUUCUAAAAAAAAUCAACCAAUGCACCCCGCAACUGACAGAUGUGAACAACUUACCGACACGGCGGCGGAGCACGAGCGGCAGCAGAACGAAGACGGCGGUGACGAGCAGCACGAACUGCCUCCCCGUCCACCACCGCGCGCCGAACAGCUCCUGCAGCACCCCGGCGUGCUCGUCGCCUCCGCCGACGCUCCCAGACAUCACGUCCCCUGCGGCACGCGCGCGCACACGACGACGAGCGUGCCCGUGGUGGUAAGGGCGACGAAGACGUUGAGCAAUGCGGCGCCGGCGCGGCCGAAGGCGUCGCCCAUGGUCCCCGCGUACGACGUGGCCGCCUCGUCCUUGCCGCCGCCGCCCCACCCCCGCCCCGUGUACCGCAGCAUGAACUCCACGGAGACGUCGGCGAGCGCGGCGACGGCGGCGAUGAGGAGCGCCGCGGGGACCACCCCGAGCACCCGCAUCGCUGCCGGGAUCGACAUGAUGCCGGCGCCGACGAUGCUCGUCGACACGUUGAACACGGCGCCCGAGACCGACGCCCCGCCGCCGUGCCGCCCACCCGCCGAGGACUCCGGCAGCAGCGGCUCGUCUAUCGCGCCCGCGCUGGCGCCGGCGUCCGCGCGUUUGCCUGAUGUUCUCGCCGGCGGCGUCAUUUUCGCGGGCGCUCUCGGGCGUGGCGUGUGGGUGGCGCUCGCCGACGAACGAGCGGGAACCAGUCGUUAAAAUAGCACGCGACUGGUACCAGCUCUGAAAUUACUGUUUUACUCUUCCGUGGUGAGGGAAGAAGAAUGGUACUAGUAUAGUAUAUGGUCGACAGGGUGCAGUUUGGUCAUUCCGUGCGGGUGAUGUUCAACACGACAGGCGAGGUGGGUAUGAUUGGGGCUGGAGGUGAUGAUGCUCCUGUGUGCUCGCCCAUGCUCCUGUGUACCUGGACGGGAACGCGGCUCGGGUUCGUCAUUCGCGAUGAUACGGUGAAGCUGGACUUGUUUAGCAAUUAGCACAUGCAGUGGCAUUCGCCAUUAUUUGCGUUCUGGCUGAUAUAAGCAGCAUUGCAGGAGCAAAUGACACUUUUGCUACCAUUUUCCUACGAAUUUUGUCUACCGGUCGUUUUCCGCAGGUCACAGAAAACGCUGGCCGACGCCAGUUGGUAUCCUGGAUUUUACAAUAAGAUAUGCA